GUAGCACCAUGGUCUUGGAGGAACGUUGUCUCGUUUCACUGUGUGCUGUACCACUGCACAUGGUUGGAAUGACAAUAAAGCCACUUGACUUCACUGGACUUAACUCAUGCCUCGACUGGACUUUUAUACAAAUACAGAGGUGCAAUGAAAACAUAAAAAUUGUUAUACAACAAUUCAUGCCUCGACUGGAUGUUGAUAUCAAUACGGAAGUGCAAUGAAAAAACAAAAAUUGUUAUACAUAUAUGUAUUUUCUAACUUGAAACUUUACAACUUUUAUAGUUAGGAGAUUUAAAAUUCAUAAAGAGAUUGAUUUCCAAUAAUUUCUUAGUUCCAUACCGAUUGAUCACGACAGAAUUACUUUAGCCAAAUUAGAAAAACAUUUUUUAAAUGACAACCAAUGUGCAUGCCUUAAUUUUUUUGGGAUCGCGAGUGAUCAACCAGACUCAUCAUUCACCCCCAGUACAGAUUCCAAUGUACCAAAUCCCUUCUUUGCUAUCCAAUCGAGCCCCACGUUGGUGCGCCAGUUUAUACACACACACACACACACACACACACACACACACACACACACACAUAUAUUUUACAUAUAGUGCUCAGCACAAAUGAGUACAACCCCUUUAAAAAGUACAAAUUUAAUCAGUAGCUCAAAGAACAAAAGAACAAUUUCCAAAAUUUUCACAAGGUUUUAUUGAACACUUGUUUAACUCCAUAACAUGAAAUUAAGGUUAAUAAUAUAACUUAGAUCACAAAAUCUUCAGUUUUACUCAAAUUGGUUGAAGCAAAAAAUGAAUACACCCCGCAACAAAAACGACUACAUCUAGUAUUUUGUAUGACCACCAUGAUUUUCAAGGACAGCACCAAGUCUUCUAGGCAUGGUAUGAACAGAGAAUAACCUCUUUUAGAGCCUGGAUGCUAGAUGGAGAGUGAUGCUCAACUUGUCGCUUCAGAAUUCCCCACAGGUGUUCGAUUUGGUUCAGAUCAGGAGACAUUCUUGGCCAUUCAAUCACCUUCACCCUGUUCUUCUUCAGAAAUGCAACACUAGCUUUAGAUGUGUGUUUUGGAUCAUUGUCGUGUUGGAAAAGUGCACGACGACCAAGUGCACGGAGUGAUGGCAGCAUCUUCUCCUUCAGUAUAGAGCAGC
rnacentral:lncRNA from 1 species